AGAGUUUGAUCAUGGCUCAGAACGAACGCUGGCGGCGUGGAUAAGACAUGCAAGUCGAGCGCUGAUUACAGGGUAGCAAUAUUCUGUAGUCGGAGCGGCGCAAGGGUGCGUAACACGUGGGUAAUCUGCCAUGAAGUUUGGAAUAACUUGCUGAAAGGCGAGCUAAUACCGGAUGUGACAAUUGAGAGGCAUCUUCCGAUUGUCAAAGCUGGGGACCGUAAGGCCUGGCGCUUCAUGAUGAGCCCGCGGCCUAUCAGCUAGUUGGUGAGGUAACGGCUCACCAAGGCUAAGACGGGUAGCUGGUCUGAGAGGACGACCAGCCACACUGGAACUGAGACACGGUCCAGACACCUACGGGUGGCAGCAGUCGAGAAUUUUUCACAAUGGGCGCAAGCCUGAUGGAGCGACGCCGCGUGGGGGAUGAAUGGCUUCGGCCCGUAAACCCCUGUCAUUUGCGAACAAAUUGGUUCAAUUAACACCUGAACCAUUGAUAGUAGCGAAAGAGGAAGGGACGGCUAACUCUGUGCCAGCAGCCGCGGUAAUACAGAGGUCCCGAGCGUUGUUCGGAUUCACUGGGCGUAAAGGGUGCGUAGGUGGUGAGGUAAGUCGGAUGUGAAAGCUCGGAGCUCAACUCCGAAAUGGCAUUGGAAACUACCUUGCUAGAGGGUUGGAGGGGGGACUGGAAUGCUUGGUGUAGCAGUGAAAUGCGUAGAUAUCAAGCGGAACACCAGUGGCGAAGGCGAGUCCCUGGACAACUCCUGACACUGAGGCACGAAAGCUAGGGGAGCAAACAGGAUUAGAUACCCUAGUAGUCC
rnacentral:rRNA from 1 species